UCGGGAAUUUUGGGCAAUGGGCGAAAGCCUGACCCAGCAACGCCGCGUGAAGGAUGAAGUAUUUCGGUAUGUAAACUUCGUAAGAAUAGGAAGAAUAAAUGACGGUACUAUUUGUAAGGUCCGGCUAACUACGUGCCAGCAGCCGCGGUAAUACGUAGGGACCAAGCGUUGUUCGGAUUUACUGGGCGUAAAGGGCGCGUAGGCGGUGUGUCAAGUCAGUUGUGAAAUCUCCGAGCUUAACUCGGAACGGUCAACUGAUACUGUCACACUAGAGUACAGAAGGGGCAAUCGGAAUUCUUGGUGUAGCGGUGAAAUGCGUAGAUAUCAAGAGGAACACCUGAGGCGAAGGCGGGUUGCUGGGCUGAUACUGACGCUGAGGCGCGAAAGCUAGGGUAGCAAACGGGAUUAGAUACCCACGUAGUCCCUGAGCGGGCUG
rnacentral:rRNA from 1 species